rnacentral:rRNA from 1 species
UACAGAGGUCCCAAGCGUUGUUCGGAUUCAUUGGGCGUAAAGGGUGCGUAGGCGGCGCGGUAAGUCGGGUGUGAAAUCUCGGGGCUUAACUCCGAAACUGCAUUCGGUACUGCCGUGCUUGAGGACUGGAGAGGAGACUGGAAUUUACGGUGUAGCGGUGAAAUGCGUAGAUAUCGUAAGGAAGACCAGUGGCGAAGGCGGGUCUCUGGACAGUUCCUGACGCUGAGGCGCGAAAGCGUGGGGAGCAAACAGG